ensembl:lncRNA
GUCUCGAGCCGAGUGACCGUGACCUCCUCCACCAAGAAGAGUCUCUCGGUUGAAGAUGGAGGUCGUUUCUUAUCUGUUUUCACUUGUAUUGGUUUCUUGGGCCGAGUGACCCCGACCUCCUUCUCCAUCCAGCAGAGUCUCUCGGUUGAGGGAGGAGGUCGUUUCUUAUCUGUUUUCACUUGUAUUGGUUUCUUGGGCCGAGUGACCCCGACCUCCUUCUCCAUCCAGCAGAGUCUCUGGGUUGAGGGAAGAGGUCGUUUCUUAUCUGUUUCCACUUGUAGCGGUGUCUCGGGCUGAGUGACCUUAACCUCCUCCUCCACCAAGAAGAGUCUCUGGGUUGAGGAAGGAGGUCGUUUUCUAUCUGUUCUCACCUGUAGCGGUGUCUUGGGACGAGUGACCCCGACCUCCUUCUCCACCAAGAAGGAGGAAGAGGAAGGAGGUUGUUGGUGGGGUUCUUUGUCGUUCUCUAAAACCUGUGAGAUACAUCCGGGGGAUUUAAAAUUCCUACAUGUCCUUUCUGAGACAGGCGCGAGUGGACGGACAGCUUCAAAACACUCAUCGAUCGCGUUCAAAAUAUGUUUCCGAAUGAUGUCUUUCAGGUCUGGGGGAAAUUUAAACGCUUCCACUUUUACUUCUUGUCUUGUGUGCGAUGGUUGUGCGUAUUUCUCCAGUUCCGUGGACUCCUCAUCGUCCUCUGCUGGCUUUUGUUCAGGAUUCAACUGAAAUAUCGCGGGAGGUUUUAAGAAGGUCGGAGUCCAGUUCUCCAGGAGAGUUGUCCAGUUCUCCAGGAGAGUUGUCCAGUUCUCCAGGAGAGUUGUCCAGUUCUGCUGUUUCUUGAGACCGUUGUGCGUCACUCUGUUCUGACUUCCCUGCAUCAUACUUUGCUGGCUCGGACCCGCUGGACAAGAUUGGGGAAAGAAUCAAUUCUCUAUGCACAGGGACGCUUUCACUCUCCACGUGCUGGCAUUUCUCAUAUCUAUUUAAUCUGAAGGCCUUCUUCCAGCAAGACGUCAUUGCCUUAAAAAAUCUCUUCUUUCUUCUUCCAGAUUUUCCCUUGUGGGCUUGAACAGAAUCACAUGGUGAACUGAUUAUA